rnacentral:lncRNA from 1 species
CCAUUUAUCAUUGCAGCAUAGGCUGGAGAAUAUUUUCCAGCAGACUAACAACUCCUGAUGUUGAGAAAGUUGUAAGACUUAUUUGCAACCCUCCUCUCUCAUCUGCAAAGGAUACUGGCAUUCAUCCACGAGGCAGGCAUACAAGCAACAUCCUUAUAUGAGAGUUCAAGCUGCUCUGCAUCCUCACAAACACUUGGUAUGGUAGACCUGAGAAGAAGUCAUAAAAGAGAAUAUCUUUGAGAUUCUCAUAAACGGUAAAUGCUAUCAUUCUAUGAAGUAUGUUGUUUCUGUUUGAUCAAGCUAGGUUCUAUCAGAAAAAUUGCAAAUUUUAUUUUCAAUAUUCCCAGUAAUAAAGAAUUUAAUGCAGGCCAUCGGGGUUUUUGCAAUGAUUGGUGGGCUGAAGAGUAAAGGUCCUGAUACACGGUUAGCUCAGGAAUCCGGAAGUGCACACUCUCACCAGAUUGUAACACAAAGUUGAUUCCAGGAUGUUUGCCCAGAUGCCACUGCAAACUGCACUUUGCCAAGUUCCCAUGCAAUUGUCUUUAGCUCUCAUCUAAGAGACGUUCCAGCUCUCUUCUGUCUUCCAGAUCUUCUGCAAAUCUCUCUCAUUGGCAGAAUCACGACUGUAACUCUGCUCAUAAAACAACUUAAAGACUGUGAUUUUCAGGCUUCUUUCCUGCUCUAUAGGAAAGUACAAAAAAGAGAAUUCAACAGUUGAAAAAAGAAAAUAUGAUACAAUAUACCCCUUUAUUGGUAUCUAUAAAUUAUUUUCUACCUGUAUCUAACUUUGAAACAGCAAUGCAGCAAUGCAUGUGUCAAACAGGUUUUGUAUCUUUUCUUACUUGUGCU